UUGAAUUUACAUAUAUCUAAUUCUGAAGGGGGAAUUGGAUGCUGGAAGAAAUAUAUGUUUGAUAAUUAGUGCAAACUGCAACAAGUAGUUUUGAGUUUUUUCUAAUUGGAAGACAACUCCUGACUUGUUGAUAUCCCUAGUUAAAUCUAGCUAAGGUGGGCACAAAAAUCAUGGUUGGCAUCUUAUUGCACCUAACUAAGUAGCUGUUGCCGAGUAUGAGGUGGUCAACUACCUCCUGUGGACGUGGGGAGGGGGGGAAGGUUUGUUCAUAGCCUUAGAAGGCUCAGCUCUCACAACGAUGUUAGUUCCCCACUGUUUUACUUGUGGUAUUACAAUUUCAAACUCUAGCUAAAAUUGCAUAUGUUAUCGUGACCAUGUUUGUCUUUUCCUUUAUGGAUGCAUUUUUACCUUUUCUCAUCUCUCUCUCUCAUACCAUAAUUUAGGCAAAAUUUGGUCAAGGGUCUUUUCAAAUUGAGGUUGUUGCUGUUAUUAUUUUUAACUUCUCUUAGAAGCUACACUUGGCUGUUACGUUGUCAAAAUCUUGGUUUCUAGGGAUGCAUUUAUUGUUGAUGAUCAUGGAAUAGGCAAAAUGAAGUUUUAGCCUCUUCCCUACUCAACAAUAUCCCAUGUCUUUCACCGCAAAUAGAUUUUAACUUCUUUACCCCCUUUUUUUUGUUUUUUGGUUACAGGCAUCUGCCCAAGAUAUUUCAUCG
rnacentral:misc_RNA from 1 species